rnacentral:tRNA from 1 species
AGGCUUUGUUGGGAAAUGAUUAUUUUGAAAUUGAUUUAGGAACGUUCGAUUCGUUUAGAAGCUUA